GCUGGGAUAGGCUCCAGCACCCCACCGUGACCCAGAAGGAUAAGGGGUUUAGAUGAUGGAUGGAUGGAUGGAUCCACUGAGAACUCAGAAUUAACUGCUCUUCAUUCACAGUAUUUCACUCAUGCUGAUUGUGCUCUUCCACUGUGGACAAACUCAAGCACCACUCAAACCAACUGUGAGGGUGGAGCUUCAGAGCCCAGACACAGUUACUCUGAGCUGUGAGAUGCUGCAGUCUACUGGAGAGAAGUUUAUAUGGAAGAAAAACUCUCAGGAUGUACAACAUUAUCUGAACUCCUUGUUUUGUAUCACUGUCAAAACAAGGAGGAACAGAGUACAGGUGUGCAGCACGCAUGGAAAACUAUUUUACACAAUACAGUGAUCC